AUGGAACGCAAAAGCUACAUGGCAGAGCACAUUUUGGGCACUGGUUCAUUUGGCGCCGUCUUUCAGGCUAAAUGCUUGGAAACUGGGGAGACGGUAGCCAUUAAGAAGUGGAGUGAGCUGUUUCUGAACCUUGUCACGGAGUAUGUCCCCGAGACGCUCUACCGCGGGCUUAAGAACUACAGUAAUGCCAAACAGGGGAUGUCACUUAUCUACGUCAAGCUUUACACCUAUCAGGGGGCUCGUGUACAUUCAUUACUAUUCGGAAUCUGUCACAGGGAUGUGAAGCCACAUUUUUUUUGGUGGGCAGGGCCUUUGGAUGGGAAUCAUCUUCGGUAUUUUGGUCCAGGUCUUGUUGUUCGUGGCCAUCACACUGCACACCAUCUGGCAAAAUAA
rnacentral:rRNA from 1 species